rnacentral:lncRNA from 1 species
UUAAAUUUUACAUUUAAGAUUGAAGUAAUCAAGACAGACAAGAAUGUUAUUGCAGAUAACAUAUCAAGACAAAGUUACUUAAACUGAUUUACCAAUGGAAGAAGCUGAUGUCAAAGAUAUACAAACAGACUUAAUAUUUCAAGUGUUUGGACAAAUGAAGUUAUUACAAGAACGAGUAAUCACAUUAACUACUGAAUGUAAAAGUGCAAGUUGAGCAUUAUAAAAAAUAAGAAAAGCUAUUAGCAAAGAUACUGUGCAGGAAGAGCACAUUAAAAAACUAGACUUAGAAGGUGAUGAUGAGAAACACCUAAAAACUCAAAUUACUAACGAAAUUGCAGUUACAGCUGUAGGCGCAGGUGAUGUAUCCAAGGGAAAGAAUAUAGUCACUCAAAAUAAACCUGAACCACCAAAGAAAAAAAAUUAUAACCUCAACC